rnacentral:misc_RNA from 1 species
GUCGGUACUCUUCACUCCUCAACAAUGCCAACGGCUGAAUAUCGCCAUCGCGGUUUGGGUUUGGAGAAGAAUUGGAGUGGUCGGUUAGAUCAGGCGUGUCGGCAGCGGAGAAAAGAGAAGAUGGGGAAGACAAUUCGGAAGGCAAGUCAGAAGUAGAUUUUGAAGCAGAAGGCUCCAUUGGCAGGGGAUCAAUCCCCUCUGCGGUUUCUGAGGCCACUGCCAUGGGUGUUUGAUUCCAGAAUUAGGAAGAUUGGAGAAAGGAAAAUGAAAUUUGAUCGAAGAGAGAGUGAGAGGUGGUUGGGGGUGUUC